rnacentral:rRNA from 1 species
AUAACAGAUGGAAACAACUGCUAAUACCGCAUAAGCGCCCAGCCUCGCGUGAGGCAGAGUGAAAAACUAAGGUGGUAAGGGAUGGCCCUGCGUCCGAUUAGCUAGUUGGUAUGGUAACGGCAUACCAAGGCGACGAUCGGUAGCCGGCCUGAGAGGGUGGACGGCCACAUUGGGACUGAGACACGGCCCAAACUCCUACGGGAGGCAGCAGUGGGGGAUAUUGCACAAUGGGGGAAACCCUGAUGCAGCGACACCGCGUGGGUGAAGAAGCGCUUCGGCGUGUAAAGCCCUAUCAGUGGGGAAGAAAAAGGACGGUACCCAAAGAAGAAGCACCGGCUAAAUACGUGCCAGCAGCCGCGGUAAUACGUAUGGUGCAAGCGUUAUCCGGAAUGACUGGGUGUAAAGGGAGCGUAGACGGUUGUACAAGUCUGAUGUGAAAGCCCACGGCUCAACUGUGGGAGUGCAUUGGAAACUGUAGAACUAGAGUAUCGGUGAGGCAAGUGGAAUUCCUAGUGUAGCGGUGAAAUGCGUAGAUAUUAGGAGGAACACCAGUGGCGAAGGCGGCUUGCUGGACGAAAACUGACGUUGAGGCUCGAAAGCGUGGGGAGCAAACAGGGUUAGAUACCCUGGUAGUCCACGCUGUAAACGAUGAAUACUAGGUGUUGGGGCCCGAAGGGCGUCGGUGCCGUCGCAAACGCAGUAAGUAUUCCACCUGGGGAGUACGUUCGCAA